UACAAUCAUAUCACGUUGAAAACCUGUUCCCGUACGAUCACCGAAGUUAAGCAACGUCGAGCCAGGUCAGUAACUAAAUGGGUGACUGUCUUGGUA